rnacentral:rRNA from 1 species
GCACAAGCGGUGGAGCAUGUGGUUUAAUUCGAUGCAACGCGAAGAACCUUACCUGGGCUUGACAUCCCUGACAACCCGAGAGAUCGGGCGUCCCUUCGGGGGACAGGGUGACAGGUGGUGCAUGGUUGUCGUCAGCUCGUGUCGUGAGAUGUUGGGUUAAGUCCCGCAACGAGCGCAACCCCUAUUGUUAGUUGCCAUCAUUCAGUUGGGCACUCUAGCGAGACUGCCGGUAAUAAACCGGAGGAAGGUGGGGAUGACGUCAAAUCAUCAUGCCCCUUAUGACCUGGGCUACACACGUGCUACAAUGGUUGGUACAACGAGUUGCGAGUCGGUGACGGCGAGCUAAUCUCUUAAAGCCAAUCUCAGUUCGGAUUGUAGGCUGCAACUCGCCUACAUGAAGUCGGAAUCGCUAGUAAUCGCGGAUCAGCACGCCGCGGUGAAUACGUUCCCGGGCCUU